ACAAACUUGGUCAUUUAGAGGAAGUAAAAGUCGUAACAAGGUUUCCGUAGGUGAACCUGCGGAAGGAUCAUUAUUGAAUAAAUUUGGUUGGGUUGUUGCUGGCUCUUAGGAGCAUGUGCACGCUCAUUCCAUCUUUAACCACCUGUGCACCUUGUGUAGAUCUGAACAACUCUCGGGGAAACUCGGUUAGAGGAUUGCUGCGUGUAAAAGCCGGCUUUCCUUGCGUUCAGAUCUAUGUCUUUAUAUACUCCAUAAGAAUGUAUUAGAAUGUAAUUGAUAGGCGUCACAGCCUUUAAAAUCAAAUACAACUUUCAACAACGGAUCUCUUGGCUCUCGCAUCGAUGAAGAACGCAGC
rnacentral:misc_RNA from 1 species